UGAGGAGCUGUGGAGUCUUGCUGCUCUGAUGCUGGACUGCAAAUCCCAGAGACCUCAGGGGCAGCAGAAAGACCACCGCCGAUUGCACUGCCUUAUGUUUAACUGACUGAAUAUGAUGUUUCCAUGGUGGAGAAGCUGUGAAUAACACACCCAAAUACCUACAGGUUAUGACCAACAUAACUUCAAUAAGAAUAAGUGAUUGAAACCGCAUUAGUUUAACAGCAUGGGGCACCAGUACUUCAGGGCAAAUUAAAUAAAAUUAUGCACC